UAGGGAAUCUUCGGCAAUGGACGAAAGUCUGACCGAGCAACGCCGCGUGAGUGAAGAAGGUUUUCGGAUCGUAAAACUCUGUUGUUAGAGAAGAACGACGAGGAGAGUGGAAAGCUCCUUGCGUGACGGUAUCUAACCAGAAAGGGACGGCUAACUACGUGCCCG
rnacentral:rRNA from 1 species